ACAUCACACCGCACGCUCUCCCUUUCUCUCUCUCUGUUCUUCUUCUCUCUCUCUCUCUCCCCUCCGUCUGCUCUCUGCUCUCUAUAUCGUCAGUUGGUUUUUCCGCGGCGGAGCAACAACUGGCUUCUCUCAGCGCUCGGAGCGGAGAGAAGGGGCGAAGGCGAGAGCGGGGAAGAGUGGGAGAAAAGAAAGUGGUGGAGGGCCGGGGUAGGAGAGGAAGAGAAGAAAAGGAAGAGGAGGUGGGGAUCUUUUGUUAAGCAUCCAUUCCUCCCCUCAUCCCCUCUCUUCUGGCAGCAUCAGCACCACUAACCUCCUCCAUCACCGCCGGUGUCGCCGCUGGCUCCCCCGUCUCCUGCCGGGAUCUGCCUCCUCCUUCUCCUCGGGGAGCUCUUCCUGGAACUGCAAGGGGGAGGGAGAUCACCACCUCCCAGCUUGCCGCGGACCCUCGGCAAAGGCGUCGGGAGGGAAAGGGGAGGGAAUUUUUUUUUAGAAGAGGCUGUCGGGAGAGCAGAGGAGAGGCAACACCCUGGGUUACAGGAGAGCAGAGGAGAGAAGAAGAAAAGAGGAUCUCAUGACGCCCAGGUCGGGCCGAGUGGGAGCGGCGCCCCCGGGGAAGCCAAAUGUCGCCGCCAGAUGACGACUCCCAGAAGACGGGGACAGAGCCGUCCAGAGGAGCCAUUGGUGGAACCUCGCCUCACGCCGCAGCCAGGCGUCUCCAAUCGAUGCCACUGCCACACUCUCUCUGUCUGUGUGUGUGUGUGUGUGUGUCUGUUUGCCACGGGGGGGCCUGAAGGGGAGCUGCUGAUGGCGGCGCCGAUGGCCAUGGUGGCGGUGGCGGUGGUGAUGAUGAUGAUGAUGCGAUGGCGGCGGCGGCGCCGCUCACGCAGUUUCUGGCUUAGCUCCCCCCCGGUUUACUGAAAGACUCUCUUCGGUGACGGGUAUUCUUGGGUGGAUAAUACGGAUCACGUUGUUAUUGCUUAAGAAUACGCGUAGUCGAGGAGAGUCCUCUCUUCGGCCAACACCAGCAGCACUACUCCCAUCCCCCACCCUACCCCACCCUCCACACCCACCCACCUCACCUCACCUCACCCCGACUGCCCACCGGCCCGCGGAGGACUGUCAGGACGAAGCCACACCCCCAAACUCUCCACCCUUCCAAAAACAGAAAAACAAUCAAACACCUCUUCUUUGAUCUGUACUGCAUUGCAAUGUUUUUUUUCUCUUCCCUGGGACGAGCCACGGCUCGAGUGUCCUCUCGUCUGUCCCACCGUGCGUCUUGUCAGUUUGUCUCCGUGGCGACGGUCAGCGUUUUGUUUUCUGUUUUAUUUCUGCGUGUGCGUGUGUGUGUGUGUGUGUUGGACGUGUUGCUCCGAUUGUUUUCGGUCUUGCGGAGAAGAACUGGCUCUCCGUCUGACAACUUGUGAUGGUGUAACUCUCUCUGCAUGAGCGGUGUCUGUUCCCAGAAUGCUCGGCCAGCAUGACCGCCUGCACACUAACAGACAUGCAUAUUCACAGCAGGACGGGUCGGGCCUGAUUAUUGGUCCGUCAGUACUGGCGUGAACCCUUUAACAAGCAGCAACCUGAAUAUGUAGUGGGAGUCAACUUUGGCACACAAGUGUGUAAACCAUUGA